GCGUGGCGUCGCCUCAGCGUGCGGCCGGGCCGCUCUCCGCCGGGGGUGCCGUGGUGGGUGCCCCAGCGCGGGCCCGCCGUGGGCGGCUGCGCUCGCACCGCUCCCGAAGGCUUCCGGCUGGAGGCGGCGGCCGGCUUUGCGAGGCCGCGAGGAGGCUGCGGUCUGUCUGGGGAGCGGCACGCGGUGUCUGGGCGCGGGGGCGGGGGCGGUCUGAGAGCCUGGAAAUCCCCUCUAGCAGCGGGAACGGGGCGUCCAGAGCAGAAGCUCAGUUGCUUUCUGGAGUAGCUGCCUCGCCACAGGCCUUUGUCGUGUCAGCCAAAACUUGCUUCUUUCGCAGGGUUCGGCGUGUCCCCUCUUCACGUGGCAGCCGCUGCCUGGAGGUUCUUGGUGGGUGCAGGAGGCUGGAGCAGAGGAUCAGACUGGUCCAGAAAAAGGCAAUAAAUGCAUUGGUUCCUGGCUCUGAAGAUACUUCUGACAUUGUGAUGAUGUGCAUCCUCUUCAUGGUCCAUAAUGAUAAAUAAAUUAAAAGUCUAUUGCAGGCUUUAAGUAAUACUUUUUUCCUCUGUGUAUUCCAGGCAGUCUAUUUUAAUUUUUUUCUGCCAUUUUCUGCAAAACUUCCGUGUUGAGAGAACAAAAUAUCAGCAGUUAUAAAUUGUCACAUGCAUUUGGAUGAAGUAGUUCAUCUUUUGUUGCAUUUUUACCUUACCAAAUAAGCCUGAUGUAGUGUGUUAGCUUUAAUUCAGAUUUUUAAAUGACAGCUACAGCAUACUAUUCUAGCUAAUGAAAAGUUAAAUGUGUUACAUUAAAAAUAUGUGUAUAUAGAUAGAUAGUGUUAAGUCUUUACUAGCCCAAGAAUAUGAGCUGGUUUAUAAGCUCAUCAUUACUAAAAUGGUCGAAGUCAUAGUUCCAGAAACACUCAGAGCAUCUGGAAAUAUGCUCACUUUGGCAUUUAAAAUUUGUUAGUUCUCCUCACUUUUAAAGGUGCCAGAUACCUUACAAGUCCAACUGAUUAUGACGUAAAUCCACCACAGUCCUUGCUUUUUAUUAUGACUUGCAGCUCCAUUUUGAAAUACAAAGGUUGAUAAAAAUUUCUCAGCUAGUCAAAAAGUCUGUAUAUGAGUUAAUUUACAUAAAGAUUAUAUCAGAAUGGUGAGUUCUAACUGUAGGUAGAGUGGGCAGUUUCUUAGGUAAAGUCCUACCUAUGGUCACACAAAGCCUGGAAAACCAGGCUGGAAAGGGUCAGGUUUUUGGCAGUGGCCCUUUCUGAGAGAGAGGUGGCACCACUCAGCAGCAGCAAUAUUUGCACCUUUCCUUUAAAGCAUCUUUUCUUUGGAGCAGCUAGCCCAAGUCUCCUAGACUUGUCCCUAUUGCUCUUUGUCCCCGUUCCAUCCCUUCUCUUUUUCUGGAAGGAAUACAGGCAAAAUGAUAUGUUGCCUAUACUGCUGAGAAAUUUUGAACCAACUCUUGAGUGUUAAGGCUAAGUGCAAUCUUGUAAUUAGUUCCAAAAACAAAAAAAAAAAAAGAUGGGGGAAUGCUGUUUUAUAUGUGAACAGUUUGUCCUUUUUAUCUUUGGAAUUUUCUAUUUAUGAAUGAACUACUGAAAUUGAGGUUUUGCUAUGUUCUGUUUUGCUUUUAAUAUAUUAAAAUCAAAAUUAAUAAUAUAAGAUUGCGUUGGAUUAUUAGAAAACAAUCAGGUAUCUUGUAUGUCUUUCUGUGGAUAGCUUUUCUAAAGAAGUUAUGGAUGUAACUUUAAAUGAGGGUGGUUUACAGUAUAAAUGGCAGAGAAUACUUUAAAUGUGCCACUGAUUGGCCCCUAAGUGUGUGCAAGACUGGAAGCAAGCUUUGAAGAGGCAAUAUGUUAAACUUUGUUUAUACAAAAUUGUUUUAAUAGGCCUGUUGAGGGUCUUCAGAUGUUUUGAUUAAGAUUUUUCUUCCCUUCUCCUCAGUCCUUUCACAUUAAAUUUAAAACUUCUUUUUA